AAAGACAGAAUUAGAGGGCAGGGUAAUGGAACAAAAAGAGCCUGAAAUAGGAAGUUACAGGUGCAAAAUGAAGGAGAUGGAUUAGAAGAAUUCAAAGGACUCUUAGUUCUAAAAAACCUACAAUCUGAAGGAGCAAGAAAAUACAGUUAAAGGGAGUCAAGAAGAUGCAGGCUUACUGCAAGCACCACUGUCCAGAGAUGCCCUUCUAUCUUUCAUUCCACAAGGCUACUUAGGAUGCUGGUAAUUUACUAAAUAGAGGGCUACAAACAGUACCUGGCAUGCAGGAAGCACUUAAUAAAUACUUGUUGGUUAAUUGAUCAUUUAUUAUUAAGUGCAGAAACUAAGUCUUUUUACUUCUUCAUUAACACCUGGUGGAACAUCAAGGAAACCAGGAAAGCUGGAAGGUGGAGAUGAAAAGGGAGAGAGUUCCAAACAAGGGGAAAAGUUGGUGAAAAUGCUCAGAGUUGAGACAUAAAGUAUCUUCUGCAAAGAAAAGCAAGGAGGUGAGAGAAGACUAUUGAAGUUUAUUGAGGAGGGCAACAUGGUCAAAUCUUCAUUUUAGUAGGUUCACUUUGACAGCAGAGUGGAGGAUGAAAUGGAGUACAGACAGAUUUGUGGUAAGAAGACAGGUCUAUUGAGGACUUAUAUCAGGGUUAUAGGCAGUGUCAGAGAAGAGAGGUGAGAGAAGACAAAAGAGAUAUUCUGAAAGUAAAAUAGAAAAGACUUUGAUAACAGAUUGGGUCUGGGGAAUGAAAGUAAGGAAUCAAGGAUGACGCCAAGAUUGCAAGCUUCAAUGAUAUGGCAGUUAAGUUAUAGUAUGUGAUUGUAAUGGAAUACUCUUAUUCUAUAAGAAAUGAUGAUCUCAAUAAUCU